GCUUGUCUCAAAGAUUAAGCCAUGCAUGUCUAAGUAUAACUCUUUUACUUUGAAAACUGCGAACGGCUCAUUAUAUCAGUUAUAGUUUCUUUGAUAGUCCCUUACUACUUGGAUACCCGUAGUAAUUCUAGAGCUAAUACAUGCAUCAAUACCCAACUGUUCGCGGAAGGGUAGUAUUUAUUAGGUAUAGACCAACCCUCCUCGGAGGUGCUUUGGUGAUUCAUAAUAACUUAGCGAAUCGUGACUCGUUCACGAUAAAUCAUUCAAGUUUCUGCCCUAUCAUGCUUUCGAUGGUAGUGUAUUGGACUACCAUGGCUCUCACGGGUAACGGAGAAUUAGGGUUCGAUUCCGGAGAAGGAGCCUGAGAAACGGCUACUACAUCUAAGGAAGGCAGCAGG
rnacentral:rRNA from 1 species